GUACAUUGCAGACGGGUUGGCCGGCUGCCUGGCAAUCCACUCGGACUGACACAUUUUGGGCAGAGCAGCGGUGUGUGUGUUCAAGAUGACAAGACCCUAACCUAUGGUGUAGGAGGAAUUAAUUAAGAAAAAUCACCUAAAUGCCAGAGCAAUGUUUGGACCCAUUCCAUUAAGAAUCCAAUGUAAAUGUCUUCUGGGAAGAACCUGUGUCUCUCUAAUGGUGACAAGGAGAAUCAGGAAGGUAAGAAGCUAGGUGCUUGAGAGAGUAAUGCCUGUAGAUUGAAAAGUGUAACUAGGAAGUAGUCAAAACCAUGAUUUAUGCUACCCCUAGCAUAAGUCUGGACCAUAUUUAGCUCUUAGACACUGUUCUUUUGAACAACAGGACAGCUGUCAUUAUUGAGUAAUGAUUAAUACAGCAAUUCACAGGAAUACAGUCUAACCUGAUUCAGACAAAUAACAGAAUGCAGUUAAUUUCCCUAAAUGCAUGCAGUAUAAAAGACAGAAAGCAGUAAAUUCUUAAUGCAGACAAAUGAGACUGGGAAAUUGGAUUGAAUAGAAUAUGAAAAAAAAUAACAAGUUUAUUUUAUCAUAAAAUGAAAAUGUUUCCACUUACCUAAACAAUAUCAGAUGGAAGAUCUAUACCAUGGGAAAUACAGAUCACAAACGGAGCAGCUGUAAUAGCAUACACAGAGCGUAACAAUGAUUAUGCAUAUUAAAUUUAAUUCAGCACUUCAGAGAUUAGUAGUAAAUAGGCCUAAUUAAUUUAUGUCUGAUGCAUGCUACGUACCCAUUCAUUUCACCAGGACAUUUAAAAAUAUUGGCCAUUAGUUGUACUUACUUUGUGGAUGUGUUUGAUUUUUCAAUUUCUGUGUUGUUUAGGAGUGUCACACAGUGAUCAUACGGUGGGAAACAAAAUAUAGUUGUUUGCUUUUUCUUCAAAGGACCAAUUGGCCAGUGGUCUUAUUUACUCAAAAUAUAGAUUUGGUUUUAUUUAGCAGGGUUCAUAACUGACAUAGGGAAUUCCUUGAUGUUGGUCUGUACCUGAAGCACACAUACAAGGGAUCUUCCAAGCUCAUAGAGAAGAGUGACUUGUUGCACCCUAUCUUCGAGUCACUUGUUGCUAAAAUACGUACAUAACUACUCUCAUUGAAAGAAGAGGCCCAAAGCUGGAUGAGAAUUACAGAUCUGCAGCCAGGCGAAAUUCCCACCUCAUGCAUCCUAACAGCAAAAUACCCAUUUUACGAUGGCCAAGCCUCCUUGGAGGGUCUGCACAAGCAGACAGGCAGCAAAAACCAGCUUGUAGUGGCAGAAUGGAACAUGUAGCCUAGCAGAAGAGAAAGACUGGGCACAAGGGCUCUGAAUUCAGGCUGCUGAGGCAAGCUGGUGCUCUGAUCAUUGGUACUCCAGCAAACGCUGCUGUGCUGGCCCUACAACUAGCAUGGCUAUUGUUUUUGCAGUGAGCUUUCUGGAAGUUUUGUGUAUCUCAUGCUUCUGCUGAAAUCCCUGCUUAUUUUACAGUGGUGAACCUCAAAUCCCUUCAAGUUUGACAGCUUUGGGCUAGUAAGAGAAAAUUCCACUUUCUAGUAGAAAGAUGAAGGGGAAAAAAGAAAGUGGAAGUAGAGACGAAGAAGGGAACUCAGUUAUAAAUCAUGAAGCAUUUGCCAAGAGUGUGAUAAACAGUAUGGUACAUUAAAAAGUAGUUAAAUUCAUUAUACUAAACUUAAACCUUUAAAUAAAAUUAAACUGAUUUAAAACAUUCACAAGUCAGGAAACUUAGGCUUAAGAAUGGGAUCCAUUUAAAGUCAUUUUAUUCUAGCUUACUUUAUCAUCGUAUUUACCGGGAGCUAAUGUAACCUCUGCAAAUCUGACACAUCAUGAAAACUCAAGCAGUUCUGCCAAGAGUUGGUGAUAAGUUGCUAUAACAGCAGCUUGGGGUUUGAGAAAUGCACUUUCCUUCACACUCAUGGUAACAAGUGACCUAGUGGUAAUGACAUCAUUAACACAUUUCACCUUUUUAUGCUCUCCCGCUGGUAUUUUACUUAUACAGGUUUAUGGGGGUAUCAUUUCAUUUUGGUGUUUGAAGUCCCUUGUACUUUUAGUGGUACUUUUAAGAAAAUAAAGAUAAAAGCGAGAGGAGAUAGUCUUCUGUGAUAUGUGAUCUGGGAGGAAUCCAUCUGAUCCCAUCAGCAGAUUCGAUCUUGUAUGAAAAAUAACUUAGGAAUUUUUAUGGCAAAUCAGGUAAGAUUGUGAUUAUUCUAAUUCAGUUUUCCCUGCAGGAAUAGGCAAUGCCCUCUUUUAAUAACCAGUUAUUAGGUACUUGUCAAGUUUUCUCCACGUUUCUGCAUUUGUAUGCAAGGUAAGUAUGUAUAUUGAAAACAAAACAGACUGAAUAGUUCCUCCAUUCAACCUGACAUAGUCCUUGAUAAUUCUUAAUUCUAGCUAUGCUUGAAGCAGGAUCUUUUGUUCUGGUUGUUGCUAUGUCUCAACAUACUUCUCUAUGUACUCCUUCAGGUACUGAAAAAGUUAUUAAAUCUAGUGUUUCUCUCUUCUUUUCAAAAGCUAUCUUUCUGACACCUUUUUCUUUUUUUGUUACGAAUCUAAAACCACUAUCCCCUAUUUAACAAUCGCAGUUUAAUAACAUUCUACACCUGAAUUUGUUUACAAAAGCGUUUGCCAUUAACAAAUUGCUUCCUGCAUCAACAAUGUGAAAGCAAACCUAUUAACCCCCAGAAGUUGGGGGAGGGGGGGGAGAAGAAAAGAAGAUAAACUCACCCAACAGCAGCAAACACUACAGUACCCUGGAGUGAAUGGGGCAGAUCCUAUCUCCAUUGACAUCAGUUGGAUGUUUAUCGCUGAAUUCAAAAGGAUUGCAUAUUGAGAAAGGAUUUCAGAAUGGGAAUUUGUGCUCGAUCUCCAAACAAAGCUAAGUAUUUGACACCUUUAUUAUACUCCAAGUGCUCCGCUAACACAACAAUACGGGACAGAACUGGGUUCGUCCUCGAGAAAGGAGAAGUAAUUGCUGUCUUCAGCUACCUGAUGGAAGGUUGCAGAGGUGGAGCCAGACUCUUCUCUGAGGUUAAACACAAAAGACAGAAGGCAACGGACUCAAGUUACAGCACAGAAAAUUCCGAAGGAACAUCAGGAAAACUUGAUUGUCGUGGCAGUCAAAAAUUGAAGUGUCGUCUGACUGUUCAAUCUCCGUCCUUUAAUACAUUCAGAACUUGGCUAAGUUUGACCCCAAGCAACCUUUUUUCUCAUGUAGUUUGUUCUUGCUUUGAGUGGAGGAUGUGAACCAGAUGUCCUCCAAAAACGGGAAGGAAUAAAGGUUGUUUAU
ensembl:lncRNA